rnacentral:rRNA from 1 species
UGUUUACGUCCCUGCCCUUUGUACACACCGCCCAGUCGCUACUACCGAUUGAUGGCUCAGUGAGGCGUCCGGACUGGCCCAGAGAGGCGGGCAACUGCCACUCAGGGCCGGAAAGCUCUCCAAACUCGGUCAUUUAGAGGAAGUAAAAGUCGUAACAAGGUCUCCGUUGGUGAACCAGCGGAGGGAUCAUUA